rnacentral:misc_RNA from 1 species
AACGCACCUUGCGCCUCUUGGUAUUCCGAGGGGCAUGCCUGUUUGAGUGUCAUUGAAAACCCUCAAGAGGGAAGCUUAAGCGGCUUCUCUUUUGGAAUUGGAGUGUGCUGGCCUUUUUCCACUUAAAAGCCCAGCUCCUCUGAAAUGCAUUAGCGAUGCAACAUCCUCGUGCCAUCACGCUUCUCUAGCAUUGAUAGUCUCUUCAUGCUUGAGUGUGGUCGCGUCAGCGAUGGAAAGUUUUGCUCGCUCACAAACUUGUUGGGCCUUAGCCCAUCCUUUGACCAAAUUAACCUCAAAUCAGGUAGGAUUACCCGCUGAACUUAA